rnacentral:lncRNA from 1 species
GAAAAGGCUCAAAUAUGCCAUCGAACUUUCAGAAAAGGCUCAUUUAUGCCAUCCGUUAAAAGUUUGGCUCAUCUAUGCCAUUACCGUUUAAGAAAAGGCUCAUUCAUGCCAUUAUUUUUUAACGGUGGUUUUGCAAAACCAUUUUUUACACGUGGCCAAUUAUAAUUCGGCCACGUCAUUAUUAUUUUUAUAAUAAAAANN